CGGGGCGUAGCUCAGCCCGGCUAGAGCGCUUGGUUCGGGACCAAGAGGUCGCUGGUUCAAAUCCAGUCGCCCCGA
rnacentral:tRNA from 1 species